UACGUAGGGUGCAAGCGUUGUCCGGAAUUAUUGGGCGUAAAGAGCUCGUAGGCGGUCUGUCGCGUCUGCUGUGAAAACUCAGGGCUUAACCCUGAGCUUGCAGUGGGUACGGGCAGACUAGAGUGCGGUAGGGGAGACUGGAAUUCCUGGUGUAGCGGUGAAAUGCGCAGAUAUCAGGAGGAACACCGGUGGGCGAAGGCGGGUCUCUGGGCCGAUACUGACGCUGGAGGAGCGGAAAGCGUGGGGAGCGAACAGG
rnacentral:rRNA from 1 species